rnacentral:lncRNA from 10 species
ACGAAUCUGGAGGUUCUUGCCCAUCAGUCUACACUGGACUUUAUUCCACAGAUAACAGAGCGCAAGAUAGACUUUCACAGGUGGUUCAAGAAUGUCAGAAUUGCAGUCACUACAAUUCUCCUGGCUUUUCUCUCAUGGUCCCCAAAUGACUGCUGGAGUUUCAGCCAUCAUAUCAGUGAUCAAGGCAGCUGGAUCCAGGCAGUAAUCCAGACACUUGGAAGUCCCACCCAAGGACUUCUGCUCUUAUCUCAUUGGUCAUCUUUGUCUGAAAGGAAAGCUGUGAAAUACAGUAUUAUUAAUAAGCACGUUGCUGGCUCCAAUAAUAUAGAGUCUUGUUAACAACAAAGAAGAGGAGAAUGGAGAUUGAGCAACCAGGAAGCAGUCUCAGCCACACCAUCAUAUGGAGAAGUGCCUGUUUCCCAUUCUGCCCGAUUUUAAGUUUCCUGAGGCACCCCCAGCCAUGCAGAACUCUCUGGUGCCUGGCCCACAGGAAGUUUUCACUAAAUAUUGAAAUAAACUGAACUUAGAUUAAACUUUGGUGUCUAACUUAGGAAAAACAACAAGAGUUCUACAAAACUAUUUCUUCACAGGAAAGUCUGAAGCCAGGCCUGCUUAGCAGAGGUCUCCGUAUAGUAGGGAUCUCACUCUUUCAAGAUGUAGGAUCUCAACUGGUUAGCCAGCCCUCUGAGUGAAGCUGGUCAGUUGGGGCUGUGACAACAUAGCACACUCAAAGGGGCAGACCCUUCUCAGCUCCAACAGAUUGGUGUCAUUGGAAAAGGUGGACCCAGUGUAGGCAGACUUUCCUAGAGAGUCCAGAAGUGACUGUGCAAGCCCAAAGCAAUCCAAACAAAUAUUUGUGGACCACCAAGAACCUCUGGUAUGAAGUAAAUAAUAAAGGCAUUGAACAAUAAUAACCUGUCUGUAUAUCCACCAAUGGGACCGAUGGGCCACAGUGUGACAUCUAUCCUAUUCAUGUCAUAAGGGAGAUGAAUUCUACUGUGGGACAGUCUGUGUGACUGCUCGUAGGAGAUUAUCCAAUUCCUUUUGCUCUAAUUUCAUGGUCACCAAAUUUCUGCUUGCUAACUUUGUUUUACAACAAACUUUAGAAAGGAGGUGAUCUGAAUAAGAGGAUAUAUGUUUUUCAGUCUCUGGAAAGGGGUAUUUCUUUGUAUUGAGAAGCCAGAACUCUUGAGUGUGUUGAGCCUUGUAGAGAUUGAACCACUCUGGGUCAGCUGACAAAAUAAGAUUCUGGUGCUGAAAAGCUGAGUAUGUGACCAUGAUAUUAACAGUGACCUAAGUUUGUGUGGCCCCCUUCGUUCUCCAGAAACCAACCAGUCAGCCUUCAUUUUGUAAAUGUAGCAGACACCAUUUUGCUAGUGAAUGAGGUUAAAUCUUUAGCCUUGUCAUUGGUUCGGCUUUGUAAUUUAAAACUCUCUUAUUUUACCCUCUGAUUUUAAAUCCCCAGAUUUUCCUUUCUGUGUCCUUUGCCCCCUGAAGUUUCCAUCUGUCUAGCAACUAAGCACUGUUUGGGUAUCUACUGUCUUCCCCAAGUUGCCUUUACUUUUCUUCUUUACCUUUCUCUUGUUUUAUUUAUUUCUUUCUUUUUUUGAAAUGGAGUCUUGCUCUGUCACCCAGGCGGGAAUGCAGUGGCGCAAUCUCGGCUCAUUGCAACCUCCACCUCCCGGGUUCAAGCAGUUCUCCUGCCUCAGCCUAAUGAGUAGCUGGAAUUACAGGUGUGCACCCCCAUACCUGACUAAGUUUUGUAUUUUCAGUAGAGACGGGGUUUCACCAUGUUGGCCGGGCUGGACUUGAACUCCUAACCUCAGGUGAUCCGCCCUCCUUGGCCUCCCAAAGUGCUGGGAUUACAGGCAUGAGCCACCACACACAGCCUCUCUUGUUUUACUUCUGUCAUUACUUUUUGUUCUUUUAAUUUGGAAACCCACCUGCUUCCUCAGUGUCAUUAUUAAAAACCCACAUGUUACAGGUUCAUUAGGACUGAAACAUUCCUUCAGAGCUGAGCUGACCAACAUGUUAGCCACUAGCCACAUGUGACUAUUGCAUACAUGAAAUGCAAAAUGUGGCUGGUCUGAAAUGAUGGUAUAGGUAUGAAAUUCACACAAGAUUUAGAAUACUGAAGAUAAAAAAGAAUGUAAAGUAUCUCAUUAAUACUUUUUUUGGUAUUGAUCACCUAUUGAAAUGGUAAUAUUUGGUUAUACUGGCUUAAGCAAAUGUACAUUAAAAUUAAUUUCAUCUAUUUCUUUUUACUUCUUUAAUACCAGAAAAUGUAAAAGUACCUAUCUGGCAAGCAAUAUAAAACUAUUGGUCAGUGCUACUUGAGAGUCUUAAUGUCUGUAUUUUUUAUAUCUCUGUAAGCAUAAAUGCUGUAUUAAAAACCCAAUUUGAAUAAACACCCCCA